UACGUAGGGGGCAAGCGUUGUCCGGAAUCAUUGGGCGUAAAGGGCGCGCAGGCGGCCCUUGAAGUCAGGGCGUGAAAGCCCCGGGCUCAACCUGGGAGGUGCGCUUGAUACUCGAGGGCUUGAGUGCGGGAGAGGAGAGUGGAAUUCCCAGUGUAGAGGUGAAAUUCGUAGAUAUUGGGAAGAACACCGGUGGCGAAGGCGGCUCUCUGGACCGUAACUGACGCUGAGGCGCGAAAGCGUGGGAGCAACAGG
rnacentral:rRNA from 1 species